rnacentral:rRNA from 1 species
UGUGUAAAAUAUAUACUUUAUUAGGGGUGAUAGGCCUUCCAAACGUUACGAUAUCUUAGUUACUAAAAAAAAUAUUAAGUAUAAAAUCGGGCAAGCAACAUUAAGGUUUCUUGUUUUUGCUAAAACUAAUCUACUAUUAUUGUAAAAUUUAACAAUCAACAACCAUAUUAACAUAGCAUUAAAUAUUAGACCUUUUGCAGAAACUACUAGUAUAUAUUGUAUUUAUUUAAAUAAUUAAUAAUGUUAUUAUUAGUAUUAAAAUAAACCUUUUAAAGGAACUCGGCAAUUACACGCUCGUCUGUUUACCAAAAACAUAACUAUAUGUCAUUAUAUAUAGCAUCUCCUGCUCAAUGGUAUGCUAAAUAGCCGCAGUACCCUGACUGUGCAAAGGUAGCAUAAUCAGUUGGCUUAUAAUUGAAGUCUAGAAUGAAUGGAUUAUUGGGUGUGUUCUGUCUUAAUAGGUCAAUAUAAUUUAUUUAUUAAGUGUAAAUGCUUAAAUUUAAAUAAUAGACGAUAAGACCCUAGAAAUUUUUUACAACAAAACUAUUCUUAUUACUAUUUUGCUGGGGCGGCAGGAUAACAUAUAAAACUUAUCUACACAAAUAUAACGCUAACUAAAUAAAUAUAAUUACUCUAGGGAUAACAGCAUAAUUUAUAAUAGUUUGUGACCUCGAUGUUGGACUAGGGUUUAUAUUGUUUAGAAGACAAAUAUAUUCGCUCUGUUCGAGCAAUAAUUCUUACAUGAUCUGAGUUCAGACC